UCCAACCUAAGGUAAGCUUAGUUCCAGUCAUGUCUAGACGCACCGUCACACAGUCGUCAAACAAUCCUUCGAGUAAGGGUCAUCUUUAUAACCGAUGCAUAUCAGUCCCACAUCAGAAACAAGUGAAGCAGCCAAGCCUCAAGUCCUCUAUACAAGCCAACUCCCAUAAUAUCUAAGGUAAUCGCUGCAUACCUUACCAAAUCAACCCCAGAGCUUCGGAUUCAGUGUUAGCCGAACAUUACUUUCACUAGCCCCCGGCCUGGGCAGUAACAAUGAUUUUUAUUGAGCAAACGUAAUGUACAAACUGAAUUUCAACAAUGCCUUAAUUAGCCUAGUACUAUUUAGUCUAGUGUCAUAAAUUUCUCCAUCG